rnacentral:rRNA from 1 species
AGAACUUAGCAGAGAUGCUUUGGUGCCUUUCGGGAACUCUGAGACAGGUGCUGCAUGGCUGUCGUCAGCUCGUGUUGUGAAAUGUUGGGUUAAGUCCCGCAACGAGCGCAACCCUUUAUCCUUUGUUGCCAGCGGUCCGGCCGGGAACUCAAAGGAGACUGCCAGUGAUAAACUGGAGGAAGGUGGGGAUGACGUCAAGUCAUCAUGGCCCUUACGAGUAGGGCUACACACGUGCUACAAUGGCGCAUACAAAGAGAAGCGACCUCGCGAGAGCAAGCGGACCUCAUAAAGUGCGUCGUAGUCCGGAUUGGAGUCUGCAACUCGACUCCAUGAAGUCGGAAUCGCUAGUAAUCGUAGAUCAGAAUGCUACGGUGAAUACGUUCCCGGGCCUUGUACACACCGCCCGUCACACCAUGGGAGUGGGUUGCAAAAGAAGUAGGUAGCUUAACCUUCGGGAGGGCGCUUACCACUUUGUGAUUCAUGACUGGGGUGAAGUCGUAACAAGGUAAGCGUAGCGAG